GACGAACGCUGGCGGCGUGCUUAACACAUGCAAGUCGAACGGAAAGGCCCUCCUUUCCUGGUGUGCUCGAGUUGCUAACGUGUGAAUAACAUGAGUAACACCUGCCUUUGAUUUUGGGAUAACUUCAGGAAACUGGGGCUACUACCGCUUAUGACCUCCUGCUGCAUGGUGGGGGGUGGAAAGUUUCGGCGGUUGGGGUUGGACUCGCGGCUUAUCAGCUUGUCGGUCGGGUAGUGGCUUAGCAAGGCGUUGACCGGUAGCCGGCCUGAGAGGGUGACCGGCGACAUUGGGACGACGACACGGCCAAGACGCCUACGGGAGGAAGCAGUGGGGAAUAUUGCACAAUGGGCGGAAGGCUGCGGCAGCGACGCCGGGUGUGGGAUGACGGCCUUCGGUUUGUAAACCGCUUUCGCCUGUGAUGAAGCGGGAGUGACGGUAGUGGGUAAAGAAGCACCGGCUAACUACGUG
rnacentral:rRNA from 1 species